GCCUGGGUAGCUCAGUUGGUUGAGCGUCCCACUUCAGCUCAGGUCAUGAUCUCACAGUUUGUGAGUUCAAGUCCCGCUUCGGGCU
rnacentral:tRNA from 1 species